GGCCAGUUAGCUCACUCGGAUGGAGCUUGGUGCUGAUAACACCAAGGUCGCAGGUUCGAUCCCUGUUCGGUCCC
rnacentral:tRNA from 1 species